UCAAUUAUCAAUUAUACAUUUCAAUCUUUAUUUACACUUGUAGUUGGAAAGGUUUAUUUUAGCACAGUUUGUAGAGACUUCAGUCCGUAGUCUGCUGGUUCCGAGGCAGGGCAGCCUGGCAGAGGAGUGCACGGAGGAGAAACAGUCCAGGUGUGGAGGCAGCCGGCCCUCGCUCUUUCCCUUUUUAUUCUAUCCAGCCUACAAGCCUAUUGGUUGACGCCAUCCGCAGCCAGGGUGGGUCUUCCCUCUGCAGCAAAUCCAUCGUCCACAUCCAGAACCGUGCUAACACAAUCACUGGGCCAAUCCAUAUCACACCCAUGAUUCAGUCCCCUCCCCGAAGUCCCACCGGUGAGCCCAUGAGACUUUGGGGUUGUGACAGUCGAUUGCGCCAACUUGAAUAAGAGAAGCUCCACUCCGCUGGCUCAGCAAUUCUACACCGGUGGCCGUCACCUGGCUGUUAUAAGGGAGAAGCAAAGGACGGAGCUGCUUCUGUUUCUUCCGAGAGGCUCCAGUCUUCGCCUUCGCCUUGGACGUCAUCUCCUGGCUUCUGGCGCAGACUCUUCGGCUUCAAACUCUUCACCCUCCGUCGCAGCCCCACGGCCUCCUGAUAUGGACUCGCGUGGGACCCUGCAGCGAGCUCGACCUUCGACGGAAUCCUUGGGUCUCCAUGUGCACACAGACCCUCCGCGUUCUCCCACGUCCUGCUCCGUAGGCGGCCAUUGGAGAAGAGGCCUUGGUGACCUCACAGAGGGUGACACUGGUGCUACCCUGGUACUGGCUGCUGGGGAUGGGCCUCGGGGACGUUGGACAAUGUGAGGACAAGGUCAGUGGUCCCGAGCCGGGCAUGACGGCACACUCCUGGACCCCAGCACUCAGGAGGCUGAGGCAGGCGGGUCGCUGUGAGUUCGAGGCCAGCCUGGGCUACACACAUGAGUUCAAGACAAGUCUGGACUACAGAGUGAGACCCUGUCGCAAAACAAAACCACCCAAAAGGCCCCAGCGGCACCGACUACGAUUCCCAGGUGGGCGACCUGAGACUGAGCGUGCUGGCUCACAGCCAGGGUGAACCUGGGCACCUCCAUGCCAGGCCGUGGGCAGGGCAGCGCGCAGACCAGAAAGCCUUGUGCUCGGCUCUCCCCUGACAUCAGCCGUGAUGAACGCCCCGGUCAGACCCGAGGACACCCGGGACGCAUCUGGGCGAGGGCGAGCCAGUGCUGAGGCCUGGCACACGGGAGGGCCCAGAACCUCCGACUCCUUGCUUCCCUGCUGGGCCAUGGGCUCUGGAGGAGCUCCCCCAAACAAAAGCCUGGGACCCACCGCUGUUUCUACAACAAUGAGAGUAUUUAUUUUCUCCAGACAGUAAAAAUAACAUUUUUCUCUUCUGUAAAAGUUAAGUACCAUUACAUUCCAUUUUCUU